rnacentral:misc_RNA from 1 species
UCUCCGUAGGUGAACCUGCGGAGGGAUCAUUACAGAGUUCAUGCCCUCACGGGUAGAUCUCCCACCCUGUGUUAUUAUACUUUGUUGCUUUGGCAGGCCGCCCGCGUGGGCUACCGGCUCCAGCUGGUAAGUGCCUGCCAGAGGACCCCAAACUCUGAAUAUUUUAUUGUCUGAGUACUAUAUAAUAGUUUAAAACUUUCAGCAACGGAUCUCUUGGUUCUG